GAUUUUAAUUGAAAAAGUAAUCAACAACAAAGAUGUAUAACUCAUUAAGAUUUAUAACUUUUAUUUUGUUCAUUUCUUCAUCCGAUAAUGUGAUAGUAACAUUGUUCAUAAAAUUCACAUAUCUCUCAUCUAGUUUAUAAACUAUAACACAGAUAUGUCAAUUUUAUGAACAAUGUUACUAACACUUUGUCCGACAAAGAAAUGAUCAAAAUAAAAGUUAUAGAUCUUGAUGAGUUAUACAUCAUUGUUGUUGAUGACCUUUUUAGUUGAAAUC
rnacentral:pre_miRNA from 1 species